UGCGUAGGUGGUGAGGUAAGUCGGAUGUGAAAGCUCCGAGCUCAACUCGGAAAUGGCAUUGGAAACUACCUUGCUCGAGGGUUUGAGGGGGGGACUGGAAUACUUGGUGUAGCAGUGAAAUGCGUAGAUAUCAAGUAGAACACCAGUGGCGAAGGCGAGUCCCUGGAAAACUCCUGACACUGAGGCACGAAAGGCUAGGGGAGCAAACA
rnacentral:rRNA from 1 species